AUUGAACGCUGGCGGCAGGCCUAACACAUGCAAGUCGAGCGGAUGAGUGGAGCUUGCUCCAUGAUUCAGCGGUGGACGGGUGAGUAAUGCCUAGGAAUCUGCCUGGUAGUGGGGGACAACGUUCCGAAAGGAGCGCUAAUACCGCAUACGUCCUACGGGAGAAAGUGGGGGAUCUUCGGACCUCACGCUAUCAGAUGAGCCUAGGUCGGAUUAGCUAGUAGGUGGGGUAAUGGCUCACCUAGGCGACGAUCCGUAACUGGUCUGAGAGGAUGAUCAGUCACACUGGAACUGAGACACGGUCCAGACUCCUACGGGAGGCAGCAGUGGGGAAUAUUGGACAAUGGGCGAAAGCCUGAUCCAGCCAUGCCGCGUGUGUGAAGAAGGUCUUCGGAUUGUAAAGCACUUUAAGUUGGGAGGAAGGGCAGUAAGUUAAUACCUUGCUGUUUUGACGUUACCAACAGAAUAAGCACCGGCUA
rnacentral:rRNA from 1 species